AGAGUUUGAUCCUGGCUCAGGACGAACGCUGGCGGCGUGCUUAACACAUGCAAGUCGAACGGAAAGGCCCUUCGGGGUACUCGAGUGGCGAACGGGUGAGUAACACGUGGGUGAUCUGCCCUGCACUUUGGGAUAAGCCUGGGAAACUGGGUCUAAUACCGAAUAGGACCACGCGCUCCAUGGUGUGUGGUGGAAAGCUUUUGCGGUGUGGGAUGGGCCCGCGGCCUAUCAGCUUGUUGGUGGGGUAAUGGCCUACCAAGGCGACGACGGGUAGCCGGCCUGAGAGGGUGACCGGCCACACUGGGACUGAGAUACGGCCCAGACUCCUACGGGAGGCAGCAGUGGGGAAUAUUGCACAAUGGGCGCAAGCCUGAUGCAGCGACGCCGCGUGAGGGAUGACGGCCUUCGGGUUGUAAACCUCUUUCAAUAGGGACGAAGCGCAAGUGACGGUACCUAUAGAAGAAGCACCGGCCAACUACGUGCCAGCAGCCGCGGUAAUACGUAGGGUGCGAGCGUUGUCCGGAAUUACUGGGCGUAAAGAGCUCGUAGGUGGUUUGUCGCGUUGUUCGUGAAAACUCACAGCUUAACUGUGGGCGUGCGGGCGAUACGGGCAGACUAGAGUACUGCAGGGGAGACUGGAAUUCCUGGUGUAGCGGUGGAAUGCGCAGAUAUCAGGAGGAACACCGGUGGCGAAGGCGGGUCUCUGGGCAGUAACUGACGCUGAGGAGCGAAAGCGUGGGGAGCGAACAGGAUUAGAUACCCUGGUAGUCCAA
rnacentral:rRNA from 1 species